AGAGAUGCAUUGGGUUUAAAGCGUGCGCAGGCGGUUUUGUAAGACAGAGGUGAAAUCCCCGGGCUCAACCUGGGAACUGCCUUUGUGACUGCAAGGCUGGAGUGCGGCAGAGGGGGAUGGAAUUCCGCGUGUAGCAGUGAAAUGCGUAGAUAUGCGGAGGAACACCGAUGGCGAAGGCAAUCCCCUGGGCCUGCACUGACGCUCAUGCACGAAAGCGUGGGGAGCAAACA
rnacentral:rRNA from 1 species